rnacentral:snRNA from 1 species
UGAUUCUCUAUCAAUUACAAGAU